GGCAAGAUGGCCGAGCGGUCUAAGGCGCUGGAAUCAGGUCACAUAGUUGUUGUUCGCCUAAUCCAGUACGAAAGUGCGCGAGUUCGAAUCUCGCUCUUGUCA